GUGCUUGCUUCGGCAGCACAUAUACUACAAUUGGAAAGAUACAGAGAAGAUUAGCAUGGCCCCUGCGCAAGAAUGACACACAAAUUCAUGAAGCGUUCCAUAUUAAA
ensembl:snRNA Gm25930 predicted gene, 25930